AACAAACGCUGGCGGCGUGCCUAAUACAUGCAAGUCGAACGGGGAAAGCUUUCGGGUGAGUACUAGUGGCGCACGGGUGAGUAACGCGUGGAUAAUCUGCCUUGAAGAGGGGGAUAACCAGUCGAAAGAUUGGCUAAUACCGCAUAAGACCACAGGAACUGAGGUUCUAGAGGUCAAAGGUUUUUCGCUUCAAGAUGAGUCCGCGUAAGAUUAGCUAGUUGGUGAGGUAACGGCUCACCAAGGCGACGAUCUUUAACUGGUCUGAGAGGAUGAUCAGUCACACUGGAACUGAGACACGGUCCACACUCCUACGGGAGGCAGCAGUAGGGAAUAUUGCCCAAUGGAGGAAACUCUGAUGCAGCGACGCCGCGUGAGUGAUGAAGGCCUUCGGGUCGUAAAGCUCUGUCGCAGGGGAAUAACACAAUGAAGGUACCCUGUAAGAAAGGAUCGGCUAACUUCGUGCCAGCCGCCGCGGUAAGAC
rnacentral:rRNA from 1 species